UACGUAGGGUGCGAGCGUUAAUCGGAAUUACUGGGCGUAAAGCGUGCGCAGGCGGCUUCGCAAGUCAGACGUGAAAUCCCCGGGCUUAACCUGGGAAUGGCGUUUGAAACUACGGAGCUGGAGUGUGGCAGAGGGAGGUAGAAUUCCACGUGUAGCGGUGAAAUGCGUAGUUAUGUGGAGGAAUACCGAUGGCGAAGGCAGCCUCCUGGGCCAACACUGACGCUCAUGCACGAAAGCGUGGGGAGCAAACAGG
rnacentral:rRNA from 1 species